rnacentral:rRNA from 1 species
GACGAACGCUGGCGGCGUGCUUAACACAUGCCAGUCGAACGGAAAGGCCCUGCUUUUGUGGGGUGCUCGAGUGGCGAACGGGUGAGUAACACGUGAGUAACCUGCCCUUGACUCUGGGAUAACUUCAGGAAACUGGGGCUAAUACCGGAUAGGAGCUCCUGCUGCAUGGUGGGGGUUGGAAAGUUUCGGCGGUUGGGGAUGGACUCGCGGCUUAUCAGCUUGUUGGUGGGGUAGUGGCUUACCAAGGCUUUGACGGGUAGCCGGCCUGAGAGGGUGACCGGUCACAUUGGGACUGAGAUACGGCCCAGACUCCUACGGGAGGCAGCAGUGGGGAAUAUUGCACAAUGGGCGGAAGCCUGAUGCAGCAACGCCGCGUGCGGGAUGACGGCCUUCGGGUUGUAAACCGCUUUCGCCUGUGACGAAGCGUGAGUGACGGUAAUGGGUAAAGAAGCACCGGCUAACUACGUG